rnacentral:rRNA from 1 species
GACGAACGCUGGCGGCGUGCUUAACACAUGCAAGUCGAACGGUAAGGCCCUUCGGGGUACACGAGUGGCGAACGGGUGAGUAACACGUGGGUGAUCUGCCCUGCACUUCGGGAUAAGCCUGGGAAACUGGGUCUAAUACCGGAUAGGACACUGCCUGCAUGGGUGGUGGUGGAAAGCUUUUGCGGUGUGGGAUGGGCCCGCGGCCUAUCAGCUUGUUGGUGGGGUGAUGGCCUACCAAGGCGACGACGGGUAGCCGGCCUGAGAGGGUGACCGGCCACACUGGGACUGAGAUGCGGCCCAGACUCCUACGGGAGGCGGCAGUGGGGAAUAUUGCACAAUGGGCGCAAGCCUGAUGCAGCGACGCCGCGUGAGGGAUGACGGCCUUCGGGUUGUAAACCUCUUUCAGCACCGACGAAGCGCAAGUGACGGUAGGUGCAGAAGAAGGACCGGCCAACUACGUGCCAGCCGCCGCGGUAA